UCUCUUUUGGCCCUCUUUUUCUCUCUCGCUACUUCUUUCUCGCGUUUGGCCCUUUCUUCUCUCUCGAUCUCUUUCACUGGUGCUCGGUUGUGCGGUGUGGGAGCGAGAACCUUCGAUGUUUAUCUGUGUUGGAUCGUCUACGCCACCUUCUCUUCUCCCCCACCAUCCCUUCCUUAGCCCGCAAGCUAUGGACGAGACUGUGUAGAACCUGCUACUAAGCAUGGGGAGAUGGCAUUGAUCUCCAAAUUGCCGUUGCUGAAGCAUAUCUGCUGAAGCUUUGCUUUGUAAGCUAAGCAACAUCCUUUAUGGACCUCAUCCCACUCGUCGUGAACUAAUGGAAAGAUGUGAACGGCUAGAAAGUCAAAAUAAACGUCUAGAAAGUCAAAAUAAACGCCUAGAAAGUCAAAAUAGCUUGAUGGUAAAGGACAUUUCUGAUUUGAAGAGCAAAGUAGAUAUUUUGAUUGAAGUUGCCGGUCGUCAAAAAGGUGUGGAAGGUGAUGCGGCUGCUAUAUUAUCAGCAAUUUCUAAAAAGGGUUCUCAUACAUCCCAUUCGCAAAAUAAUGAUGUUGGAUCUUCUCAUCCUGAUGAAGAUGAAGAUGAAGAUCAUAGAGCUUAUGCUGAUGUAAUGUCUAAGACUUAAGGUCAUGGUUUCAGUUUUCAAAACUGGUUUAAGCUCAGCAUAUCGUUGUUCUUUAAAAUGAGGGCAUCUCAUUGAUGAAAGCUUUAUGUGGAUUUGUGCAUCUGAAUAAUGUUUGUUUUAGUUAUUUGUUGCAUGACUUGUCUUCUAUUAAUAUUUCCUAUUCUGUUAAAAUACUUUUUGGUACUAUAUAUGAGUUAAUAGUUUGCAUGAUUAGUUGAGUAUCAAUAUGAUAUAUUAUUUCUCUGAUGCUUAUAUAUAUAUAUAUAUAUUCCUUGAGAAGCUUGAAAAUGACUCAUAUAGGCUGUAAUGAAACAUUGGAGCAGACCUUGAUCAGUUAUUAGUAAACAGGAUUUUGCUUUCAGGUUGGAGCAGACCAUCAGUGAUUUCCACGUUCCCUUUCCCAAUGAGUUCAUAUUGGUUGGAAAGUUUGUAAUUUUCAGUUUGGAUCUUCAAAUUUAGUACAAGUUCAUAUUUGUGAUUUUUUUCUCUGUUGAUUUCAAUACUCAGUGGAUAGUGAAAUAUGUUGGUAUUUAACAGCUAACCUUGAGGGUGCACCACAAAUUGAAAAUGAAACUCAUAGGUUGGCUGUUAUGAACAUGGAUUGGGAUCAUAUCAAGGUGUUCAUUUUUGCAGACUAAUUUCUAUAAACCUUUUUGAUUGUGGAUUGAUUUCUAGUUCUAUAUAAAUCCUUUUCCAGCUUUUCCUUUAUUUUCCCUUCUUACUGCUUCUUUGGCUCCUAAAUAUUCCAUCACUUCAGAUGCCUUUGUAGGCUGUUUCAAAAUUUUGACAAAUCCUUCAAUAGCCCUUCAUAUUUUAGACAUUGUGCCCACAUACUGUUUAAAUUUUAGGGACUGUUGGCUUUGUUGACUACACUAAUCAUGAGGACAUGAAAUAUGCGAUAAGGAAGCUUGAUGACAGUGAGUUCAGAAAUCCAUGGGCGAGGUCUUAUAUUCGUGUGAAAAUCUAUGAGGGGAGUCGAAGCCCAAGCAAAAGUUGAAGGAAAAGCAGAAGUCCCAGAAAGAAUAGAUGUUCCUAUCCUAUUUACUUUCUACAGUGAUUCGAUUGAAAAACCAGUCUCACGAUUAGCAUCUAUUUCUUCUAGAUCUCGAUCUGCCUCACCAGUGAAAAUUUCAAGAUAUUUGCUUCAGAGUGGUUGCUCAUCAACCCUUUAAACAGAUGUCUAAAUUUAGUGGGUAUGAUAUGGAGGAGAAGGCAGCAAAAGCUUAUGAUUUGGCUGCAUUGAAGUACUGGGGAACAUUCACUCACAGUAAUUUCCCUACAUAAUCAACAUGUAAGAUGGCAAGCAAGAAGUGGAAGAGUUUCAGGAAACAAAGUCUUCUAUCUUGGAGCAUUUAGUAAAAUAAGUUAGUAAUCAUCGUUAAAUGUAUGAUAUUGUAACUACACGCAUAAACUGCGAAUGAAAUCUUAUUUUUAAGCUAAAAACAUCUGCUCAUCUUCAUCUUUUCAGGUACUGGUUGAUAGCUUUGAUUUCCUGAAAGAGCUUGGGCUUGGAUAAAUAUUGAAGUGCAUCUUGUGCUACUAUAUUAUUGGGGAAAUAAUUGUAUGACUGUGAAUUAUUUACCUACAAUAAUAUUCAUAUUUUUUGUUGUA